rnacentral:snoRNA from 1 species
CCUCUCCAGAUUCCUCACCCUGCAGAUCUGAAUAUGGGUCUGAGAGGCCAAGGGUGGAGGAAAAUUAAAAUGGAAGUCCACUUGGAGUCUUCAGUGAUGUACAAGGUCAUGUCAGACAUGAAAAAAAG